CAAAAAUGGAGAACUGAUAAUUAUCACUGUAUUUAUUCUUUAUGGUUACUCGGGGGAACAUUUUAAAAGGGGACAUUAAUGGAAUAAGAUUACCUUUCCGUCACUCACAUCUGACUACUCAUAGACUUUUCUAUUUGAAGACGGAUUAAGGAAAAUUUUCCUGCAAACAAAUGUGGUCAAAUGAAUUGAUGAACAUGCAUACCUGCCAGGUACCCAGCAUCCUCAAGUGCCUAUAUGACAUUAACUCCAGUAGCCUGUGUGACCAUGUAGAAUAAAAAUAAAGUUACUGGGAGUUCAGGGUUGAUAAUAGCUCUGCUUUGUAUAUUUCUGCAGAAGUCAGAGUCUUUCAAAAUAUGGGAACAGUGAGUUAAAAUAAACUGUCUUAUUGGCAGAACAGAGUGUGAUCAUGAGAUACCAUUCAGCUUUUAUGCUGAUUCAUCAGCUCACAGUGAAACAAGCUUGCAAGAGAGCAUCCCAGGACCACUCAACAUUCAGAGGUCUAUUUCUGGCUUCUCUUUCCACAGCAUAGGCAGCUCUGCAGAAUAAAAAGCGUUUCUCCCACCUGCCCUGGCCUCUAACCCGGCUCUGAAAGAGGUAGGCUGUGAAUGAUGGUUGUCAGUGUCAGGAGUUUUCACUGAAAAACGGUCCCCUGAAAUGGAAAGACACACAGAAGGGAGUGAUCUCAUCGCCAUUGAUUUUCCCCAACUUUCAGUUUUAUAGCUCCAUGGUGAAACUCAACACAGCAGCGUCCCUCAGUGGUUCCAGCCCAGAACUGCAGGGGGAAGCUGGCUGUUCAUUAAUUCUGUAGCUCAAAAAGCAGAGGCCAAGAAAGCAAAAUUUCAAACCUUUGUCAGAAAGGGUGAGACCUUGCUUAGCAAGGUAGCUGAGAACAGCUUCCUCCUUCUGAGCUGGUCUCUCGAGACCGACAACUGACAGCCGAUGAUCCCACACUCUCAGUCAUGGCAAUGACCUUGUCUGAGCACCAGUUUGUAAUGGAUGUUUAAGAGCAAGGUAAGGGAAUUAAAUGCUGCACAGGAGUUUGGAACUUCUGUCCAGAAAUAGAAAAACUAAAUGAAAAUUAUAGUACCUUCCACUCAACUAAGAUUCUUAUGAAGCAAAGUGUAUCUGGGAAAAUAUAGUAAUAUUAUUAUUUUGUGUUCAUAGUGUGUGACUCUACUUAUAAACACCUUUUCUUUUGAGACAGAGUCCUGCUUUGUCACCAGGCACCAGGCUGGCAUGCAGUGGCACAAUCUUGGCUCACUGCAACCUCCACCCACCAGGUUCAAGCAAUUCUGCUGCCUCAGCCUCCCAGGUAGCUGGGAUUACAGGCACGCACCACCAUGCCAGUCUA
rnacentral:lncRNA from 1 species